GGGACUUGUUUAUAUAAUGAUGUUUCUGUCAUGUCACCCAUCCCUUGACAUGGACAGAAAUUUGCCUUGAGGAGGAUCUGCUCUUUGGGCAUAGAUUGGGUUGGUCAUAGGGGGUUGAUUCUGAUAACAGACAGAAAGUGUUUAGAAAUGGUCUUGAAAAAGAAUACCCAGUCCAUUUUGACUUGUGCCAUAGAAAAGAAGAACAGUGAAAAGGCCAAGUAACAGAAAAAGUAUCCCAAAUGAUAUCAGACCCAGUUCUACUGAAUGCAAUUGAGAAAAAGUUGUGGACAACAAGAAGGCCAAUACCUUCAAAGGCAGAGUUCCAUCCUUGUGAAGCAGUUCAUUUGCCAGUGCUUUGAGCUAUAUAUAGAUAAAUACACUAUCACUGUAACAUCUGCUGCCAUAUCUACAAGACUACAAGGUGUCCUGAAAUUUAGCUUUGCAUUUUUGUUGGAGAUUUUUCCUAAGCAGAACAAAGAACAAUUGCCAUUGCAUAUCUCUGACAGAUUUGUGCUACUGAUCUUACUGGUACAGUAACAUAUGAUAGUAGAACAGAGCAGGAAUAAAAAAUACGAAACAAGAAAACUGACUGCAUUUCUGAUGUCCACCCCUUGAUAUAACAGCAGAGAGAUGCUGCAGAGAAAUAUCAGGGCAGAGAAAUAUCAGCUAUUUCCCUUCUCUUGGCUGCAACUGGGAAAAGCUCAAGUGUUUUAGGAAUGUCCUGAAGUAAUGU